rnacentral:rRNA from 1 species
GAUGAACGCUGGCGGCGUGCCUAAUACAUGCAAGUCGAGCGAACGGACGAGAAGCUUGCUUCUCUGAUGUUAGCGGCGGACGGGUGAGUAACACGUGGAUAACCUACCUAUAAGACUGGGAUAACUUCGGGAAACCGGAGCUAAGACCGGAUAAUAUUUUGAACCGCAUGGUUCAAAAGUGAAAGACGGUCUUGCUGUCACUUAUAGAUGGAUCCGCGCUGCAUUAGCUAGUUGGUAAGGUAACGGCUUACCAAGGCAACGAUGCAUAGCCGACCUGAGAGGGUGAUCGGCCACACUGGAACUGAGACACGGUCGAGACUCCUACGGGAGGCAGCAGUAGGGACUCUUCCGCAAUGGGCGAAAGCCUGACGGAGCAACGCCGCGUGAGUGAUGAAGGUCUUCGGAUCGUAAAACUCUGUUAUUAGGGAAGAACAUAUGUGUAAGUAACUGUGCACAUCUUGACGGUACCUAAUCAGAAAGCCACGGCUAACUACGUG